UACAGAGGGGGCAAGCGUUGUUCGGAAUUACUGGGCGUAAAGAGCUCGUAGGCGGCUCGUUGCGUCGGCUGUGAAAACCCGCAGCUCAACUGUGGGCCUGCAGCUGAUACGGGCGGGCUGGAGUUCGGUGAGGGGAGACUGGAAUUCCUGGUGUAGCGGUGAAAUGCGCAGAUAUCAGGAGGAACACCGGUGGCGAAGGCGGGUCUCUGGGCCACUACUGACGCUGAGAAGCGAAAGCAUGGGGAGCGAACAGGG
rnacentral:rRNA from 1 species